rnacentral:rRNA from 1 species
GACGAGGAGGACAAGCGUUAUUCGGUGUGACUAGGCGUAAAGACCCAUCAGGCGGUUAAAAAGAAGUAAGUCAAAACUCGAAACCAAAUUCGAGAAACGAAACAACAAAAUAACUUGAGUAAUCAAAAAGAGAAGGGAAUUUCCAAAGUAGUGAUAAAAUACGUUGAGAUUGGAAGGAACACCAAAGGCGAAGGCACUUCUCUAAUGACUACUGACGCUGAAGGGGGAAAGUCUGGGGAGCAAAUGGG